AUUGAGCGCUGGCGGCAUGCCUAACACAUGCAAGUCGAACGGGGCAGCAAUGCCUAGUGGCGGACGGGUGAGGAAUACGUAGGAAUCUGCCCUUAAGUGGGGGAUAACCAGGGGAAACCCUGACUAAUACCGCAUGAUCUCUUCGGAGCAAAGAGGGGGACCGCAAGGCCUCUCGCUUCUGGAUGAGCCUACGUCUGAUUAGCUAGUUGGUAGGGUAAAGGCCUACCAAGGCGACGAUCAGUAACUGGUCUGAGAGGAUGAUCAGUCACACCGGAACUGAGACACGGUCCGGACUCCUACGGGAGGCAGCAGUGGGGAAUAUUGGACAAUGGGCGCAAGCCUGAUCCAGCAAUGCCGCGUGUGUGAAGAAGGCCUUCGGGUUGUAAAGCACUUUAGCCUGGAAAGAAAAAACUUUGGUUAACACCCAAAGUCUUGACGGUACCAGGUGAAUAAGCACCGGCUAACUCUGUGCCAGCAGCCGCGGUAAUAC
rnacentral:rRNA from 1 species